UUGGCAACCGAGGGAGAAUAGACCGGCGAACAAACAACGCCGAAAAAACGAGUGAAAAUACAACAAAAUCAACGUUUGACUCUUCGCUCCGGUUUGUUAAUACUGUGCGAAAUACAUUACGGCAGAAGUGCGGAUGCGAAAACAAGCUCUGUUUUGUCGAGCCGAGUGAGGACACUGAACAUACCUGAGACACGAAGGUGUCACCACUUCGUCCACAACAUCGUCCACGAUCGCAGAGACAUGGUCCAUGAUCGGAGAGACAUUGUUGAGGAUGAGGGAGACAUCGUCCUCGAUCAGAGACAUUGUCCACGAUCGCAGAGACCUUGUCAAAGACGAGAGAGAUGUUGUCCAUGAUCAGAGAUAUUGUCCCAUGCUUCGUAGAGACCUUGCGAUAGAAUCGGCGGAGACGGGGGUCACCGAUUUGACGGCAUUGCCCGCGAUCAUGGAGACAUUGUCCAUGAUCACAGAGACGGCGUCUAUGAUCUCAGAGACAUCGUCCACGAUCACAAAGACAUUGGCCAUGAUCACAGAGACUUUGUCCAUAAUCUCAGAGACAUUGUCUGCGAUCACAGAGACGUAGUCCACGAUCACAGAGAAUCUUUGUACAAUGAAGAAGUUCUUUGAGACCAGGACAGAGGCCUCCAGGUGUCACCACUUCGUCCGCAACAUCGUCCACAAUCGCAGAGACAUGGUCCAUGAUCGGAGAGACAUUGUUGAGGAUGAGGGAGACAUCGUCCUCGAUCAGAGACAUUGUCCACGAUCACAGAGAAUCUUUGUACAAUGAAGAAGUUCUUUUGAGACCAGGACAGAGGCCUUCAGGUAAUUCACAAACACCUUUACAUCAACUGUCCAACACAGAGCACUGACAUUAAACUGCUUAUGUUCAGUAUUCAGUGUAUCAGAAAAGUGUAAAAAUAGAAGUAAUCUGUAGUAUAAAGAUAAUGUAGAAAU